rnacentral:tRNA from 1 species
GGGGUUGUAGCUCAGUGGUAGAGCAUUUGCCUUGCAUGCAUGAGGCACUGGGUUCAAUCCUCAGCACCACA